UACGUAGGGUGCAAGCGUUAAUCGGAAUUACUGGGCGUAAAGCGUGCGCAGGCGGUUGUGCAAGAACGGUGUGAAAUCCCCGGGCUUAACCUGGGAAUGGCAUUGGUGACUGCACGGCUAGAGUGUGUCAGAGGGGAGUAGAAUUCCACGUGUAGCAGUGAAAUGCGUAGAGAUGUGGAGGAAUACCGAUGGCGAAGGCAGCCCCCUGGGAUAACACUGACGCUCAUGCACGAAAGCGUGGGGAGCAAACAGG
rnacentral:rRNA from 1 species